rnacentral:rRNA from 1 species
AGAUUGAACGCUGGCGGCGUGCCUAACACAUGCAAGUCGAGCGGUAACAGGUGUAGCAAUACAUGCUGACGAGCGGCGAACGGGUGAGUAAUGCUUUGGAAUCUUCCCAGUAGUGGGGAAUAACCAGUCGAAAGAUUGGCUAAUACCGUAUACGUCUGUAAAGGGAAAGCGGGGGCUCGUAAGACCUCGCGCUAUUGGAUGAGCCAAAGUCGGAUUAGCUAGUUGGUGGGGUAAUGGCCUACCAAGGCGACAAUCCGUAGCUGGUCUGAGAGGACGACCAGCCACACCGGAACUGAGACACGGUCCGGACUCCUACGGGAGGCAGCAGUGGGGAAUAUUGGACAAUGGGGGAAACCCUGAUCCAGCGACGCCGCGUGCGUGAAGAAGGCCUGCGGGUUGUAAAGCACUUUUAGUGGGGACAAAAAAGCUACGGAUUAAUACUCUGUGGUCUUGAUUUAACCCAAAGAAAAGCACCGGCUAACUCUGUGCCAGCAGCCGC